UCAUUGACACUGAGGCACUGAUUGGCUGAUACAAAUUGGCCCGUCAAUGUUUCGGAUCCGUAGUAGUGUAUUACAUCUAAAAUUAGCACUAUAUAAUUAACUAAGAAGAUUGUCCGCAAAAAGAUAACUGAGAAGAUAAUUAAUACAAUUAACAAAGAAAAUAUUUAUUGCUAUUAAUAAAAUUAAUGAAGAAAAUGACUAGCCAAUUAAUCAGAUAAUUAAACCUUCACUAUAAAAGGACCCAUUGGCAUAUCAUAUUUGCUCUCAAUACGGAGAUACAAGCCCCCAAGAUUGUAAUACAAGAUCAGAUUAAAAAAAAAAUUGUAAUACAAGAUGAGGGCUACACAAGUUCUACUCCUAUUCCUUGUCCUCUUCGUCCUAUCCCCAGAUCUGGCAAAGGCUAAGCUGCACUGCACGGAUUUCAUCAUAGUCAACCAGUGCGACGUGGACGAGAUCACAUGCCAACAUUACUGCUACAGCCAGUUCAAUGGAACCGGCAAGUGCAUCCCCCACAAAGGAUGCCAGUGUCAUUUCUGCUAUGCAACUCCACCCAAGCCAUCGCCUGCUAGCAGCUCCUAGUCGUAGUUUUCUCUUUAAUUUCCUGUUUCUUCAAGGUCAAUGUACAACAGUUAUGAACAUGAUUCGUUUCUAGUGCAACAACUAUGGCAUGAUUAAUUACAUGUACUGUGGCCUAUACCGCGAAGUUAUAUGUUAAUGCAAUGCCUGUUUUGCUUUA